AACAUAGAUAGAAACAAGGAUUUGUAUAGUCUUACUAUACAAAUCAAGACUAUACAAAUCCUUGAUAGAAAUCGAUGGAAAAUCCAGUAAUUUUUACAUUGGAUGCGACCUUGAGAGUUCAUAUCGAUGUUAAGUUUUCGCAGAAGUUUCUGCACACUUCCCUUGCACUUUGGACUGAUAACCAAACGUUGGUCAUGAAUAAAGUUACAGAAUUUACAUGUUCUAAACGUUUAUUAGACAAGAGACAGCCACGGUUGACAAUGCUUUUUCCAGAGGUACCAAUCUACUCUAUCACCCUUUCAGCUGUGUGUUAUUUAAUUUAUUAUACUGAAUGUCUUAUCUUUAUUGUCUUUUACAGAUAAAUUUUAUUUAAACGUAUUUUCUAGGGACGUCAAGUACGGGAAUUAGAAAAAUCAACAGAAGUGAAGCAAGAUGUAUAGUUUUUAUAUUUUGACAGUCAAAUAUUAGAAUCUGAGCUAAAAUGUACAACUUAAGCAUUGUCUUUAAUAACUUGAUGUAAAUUCAAUUCGUUGUCCUUUAAAUUAUGGAUUUUUGAUUGAUCUAGUCGAGAGGGUGACAUUAAAAAAAAAUGGUCACCCUCUCAGCCAUGUGAUAGAGUAAAUUAACACCCUUGUUUUGUUUUUUUACUGUGACAAAAUUUUAUUAACAUUUACCGGUUCCUAUCCUCAGAUAUCAUAAAAUAUCUCAUAUGAAAAUUCUGUUCUGAAAAAUAAGAACUCUUUUCUAAAGAUGUGUAAUAUUUAAACGUGUAUGAUGCUUGCUGAUUAAAAUUUCAAAUGAAUGCUAAUUAUUUUGUCUAUAUCUAAUGGAUCACAACCUUUAAAAAAAUAAAACCAAAAUACCGAAGUCUCAGAGAUUCCUCAUAGAGCUGUAGUAAUAUGAUACCAUGAUUAGUUUGUAUGCAUACAUGAAUAUUGAUUGAAAAUAUACAUGUAAGAAGCAUAAUGCUCCUCAAUUUUUUUUUAAUGAACAUAUAUAUUCAAUACAGACACAUUUGGUAGAUUUUUCAAAGUUAUAAUAGAACUUGCAUUAAUUGUACUAUGUUUCAACUUUAAAGUUCUCCAUUUACAAAAAAAAUAUAAUGUGUGUUUGUCAACUUAUUUUGAAUGUUAUUCUCAAUACAAUCUCUUACAACGUGUUUAUUACAUGCAGUCUGUCCAACGUCUAUUUUUUGUCAAUUUAUUUUGAUAAAAUCAAUAACUGAAAAAUGGAAAUAUACAUGCCCCACACCCCCAAACAAACAAAAAAUUAAUGAACAUAGAUGAAAAAAUAGAAAAAACAAGAAUGUGUCCACAGUACACGGAUGCCCCACUCACACUAUCAUUUUCUAUGUUUAAAGGA
rnacentral:lncRNA from 1 species